rnacentral:rRNA from 1 species
UACAGAGGUCUCAAGCGUUGUUCGGAUUCAUUGGGCGUAAAGGGCGCGUAGGCGGCGGGGUAAGUCGGGUGUGAAAUCUCAGAGCUCAACUCUAGAAACUGCACUCGAUACUGCUCUGCUUGAGGACUGGAGAGGAGACUGGAAUUCACGGUGUAGCAGUGAAAUGCGUAGAUAUCGUGAGGAAGACCAGUGGCGGAAGGCGGGUCUCUGGACAGUUCCUGACGCUGGAGGCGCGGAAG